rnacentral:lncRNA from 1 species
GAGAAGAGAUUUAGGGGUUGCUGAUAGGUUUCCGAUUCGAUAGAGAGGAUGAACAAGGGGACGGGAAGAGCAUCAAUCUGGGUAUUUUUGAUUAAUCUGGGAAGAGUAUCAAUCUGGGAAGAGCAUCAAUCUGCAUCUACCUGGGAAGAGUGCUGCUGUCGUCUUUGAGUUAUAUAUGGAUAACAGGGUUUUGAAUAGAUACAAGCAGAGAGGAUAUUUAGUUUUUGGGCCAUAAGCAUCAGAGGUAUUCUUGAGCAAGAAAUUGUAAAGGUUGCAGCUAUGAUC